UCACUUCAGGAGUACAUAUACUCAAAUUGGAGUGAUACAGAGCCGAUUAGUAUAGCCCCUGCUCAAGGAUGAUACAGAAAUUCAUGAUGUAUACCAUAAAGAA
rnacentral:snRNA from 1 species